rnacentral:lncRNA from 1 species
UUCAACAACCCUUCAUGCUAAAAACUCUCAAUAAAUUAGGUAUUGAUGGGACGUAUUUCAAAAUAAUAAGAGGAAACACUUUUCAACAUGUUUUAUGAGUCUACCGUUAUCCCCAUACCAAAACCAUAAAACAGACAUUACAAGAAAAUGUCCUGUAGACAAAUAUGUAUUUUGAUGAUGAAUUUAGAUUUCAAAAACUUCAGCAAAAUAUUAUCCAAUUAAAUCCUCUCAUGUCUGUGUGUGUGUGUGUGUGCAUGCACGUGUGUUUGUAAAAUAUAUCAUUACUAAUUGGCGUUUAUCUUGGGAGUUCAAGAUGGUUUCCAUAUUCAAUCAACCCAUCAAUGUGGACUAUGGUCACUUGAAAAGACCAGCAAAUCCUCUGCACAAAAGGCCACUAGAAAUUCAUUAAAGCAGCCUUCCAUCAUUCUCGAAAUUGACCAAAGCAUUCAACUACCUGAGAAAUAUUUAUGUUUGGAAAGCUAUUGAAAUGCAAUUAAAAAUAUCAGGAAACCUGUUUUUACCUUUUGUCCUAAUCUUGCUAAAUCCUUCUUAAUUUUAGGAGACACUGCUUCUCCUUCCACUGUUCUUUUACUUUCUCCUUCCCCUUUGUUUUUGCCUCCCCCUUCCUCUCCCUUUUCUACAUUCCUUCUCUCUCCUAAAUGCUGUAUAAAUUUCUACAUAUGUAAUCAUAUUAUUUACAAAUAGGAACAGUUUUACUUAUUUCUUUCCAGUCUGCAUUUAUUUUAUUCUUCCUUUUUUUCCUUACACACUGGAUAGAACUCUAAGUAUUAUGUUGAAAAAGAGUGAUAAAAGCAAACAUCUUUGCUUUAUUCCUGAGCAUACAUGUGGAAAACAUUCAGUGUUUCACAGCUAAAUAUGAUGGAUUUUUUGUAUGCUCUUUAUCAAGAUGAAGGAAUUUUCUGCUAUUUCUGGUUUGCUGAAUUUUUAUCACAAGUAACUGUUGAAUAGUGUCUUUUUCCCCUGCAUUUAUUGAACUGAUCAUGCAUUCUCCUAUUUUAGAAUAUUAAUAUGAUGAACUAUAUUAUUAGAUUUUUUAAAAUAUUGCAACUGUCUUGCAUUUCUGGAAUAAACAUGGCUUGGUCAUGUGUCACUUUUUUACAUAGUGUCGUAUUCAAGUUGUCGAGGAUUUUGCAUCUAGGGUAUAUUUGUAGAUUUGCAUCUAGGUUAUGUUGGUCUAAAGUUUUGUUUGUUUGUUUUCCUUUUCUUUUUUUUUAUCAUCUUUGUCUUCUUCUGUUUAAGUGUCAUGCUUGCUUCAUAAAAUGAAUUGAGAAGCAUUUCUUCCUCUUCUGUUUCUCGAAAAUUGUAGAGAACUCUUGUUUUUUGUUGUUGUUUGUUUGUUGUUUUGUUUUUUCUUAUUUUUAUCCUCAUACUGAGAACCAAACAGUCUGGAGUGUAAAACAUGGUUCCUCAUUCCAGUUAAAUCUAGUAUACAAUGACAACAACCCUCUUGGGUUAAGCAUUGGCCUACAAACAGAAAAAAACCUUCAGGGAGAUAGAUGCUGAUCUAGGCAUUGUGAGAAAAGCUGAAUUCAUUUUUAAUCAUGAAUGGCUUUUAAGGAAAGAAGAUUUAUUAACUAAAAUAAAUAGAUUAGAGGGAAUUCUCACCUAUGAGAGAGGAAGGGAUGGGAUUCAACCUGGAAAAAGUAAUGAAGUUUUAGUGAACUUGGUAAGGUAGACUCAACAAUUAAUGAUGGAUAAUGCUAGGACCCAACACUGGUAAUGAGUUUGUAUUAUGACUCAAUAGCAUCACUUUAUCACUUUAACACAGAUGGAGGCCUAAAUAACCAUAGGGUAAUGGUUCUUCUUAGAUGCAGAAGGACACAUUUAUAUAAUCUUAGGGACCCCAUCUCUGAGGUCACUCAUAAUUUAUAUUAAUUCAUUGUUAUUGCCAUUGCCCCAAGAAUAGAUAAGGAUAAGACAUCCUGUAGUACAGGUAGCAGAGAUAUAAACUAUUCUUAUUCUUGUGUCUUGUCUAUAGGAAGGGAGUGUAUCCUGGUGUAAGACAGCAUAUAGUAGAGACCAUUGUCAAUUAGGGCCUGUGAACUAAGACAGGGUGACUGGCUAAGUCCACAACCCAUUAGAAACCCAGAAAUAAUCAAAUCAUGGUGAGUAGUAAUAACACUUAUUUAUAAUACUAUACGGUAUAAAGACAAGAACCAAUUAUGUUGAGUAGCUGUAACAAAUAGCUCUAUCAUUCGUAAUAACUUUUUCUGUAAUAAAACUGAAUUGUAACAUGAUCAUACUGCAAUAUGACAUUACACUAGCAUUGUUGGUAAGAUUCAACUAUCUUAUGUAGAGAAGUUAUAUAAUGCUUAUAUUGAUAAUCAAAUGUAUUAAGAUAUUGAGUUAAAGCCUCUUCAGAAUGUAAUCUGGGUGAAUAAUAAAUGGCCUGAGAAAACAGAAUUCAGCUAACCAUUAUCUAAUUUCAAUGCUAAAUAGUUCUGCACAGAUUUAUCAAAAAGUAAAAAUAAAAGCAGAUUGAGAGGAGGAAUGAAUAAUUUUGUUUGUACAAAAUAUUAAAGUGUAUGUAAUGGGCUUGUAGGAUGCAUUAGUAAUUUUUAAAAAUCAAUCUUUACCCUACACUGUGUCCAUAAAAUGCUAGGCAUAUUCAUGUUAAUAUUACUGUUGUUACUGUCAUAUAAAUGCCAUAUUCAAUGUAGAUGCUCAGAAAAAUAUGAUUGUUUUGCUACAGGAGAGAUUAGACCAGGGACAAUAAAUAUGGAUUAGGCAAGAAUGUGUUAACUCAGCAGCCCAGGGUUUUUUCAACCCUGCACAUUCAAAGGUAAGGUUUGUUUUUAGGACUAGCUAGCCUCUGAGUUCUGGAAAUAGUCUUACCGUGAAGAGUGUUUUUGUAUAUCUGAGGCCUUGGGUUUAUGGUGAAUGACUGACUUAUAUGCCUGAGGCCCUGAGCCAUGCUGUAUUUAUUUGAACCAUGUGGUAUCAAUUUAACCAGAUACGUUUAUUCUAAGAUAUGAUUUAUGCUGAAUGCCUGGUUUUGUUCUAGAGGGAUCAUGGAAAGGAAGCUGAAUUUGCCAAGUUUUGCCACUUGGGCAUUGCAUGCCUAUGUGAUUAACCACCAAUAAAAACCUGGGACAUCAAAGAAUAAAUAAGCUGCUCUAAUUGCCAAGAAUUCACAUGUGGUUGUAUGCAGCUUUACUGGGAGACUGAAGUGUAUCUGCAUGUGAUUCUGCUGUGAUGGACACUUGAUCUUGAGAUGACGUCAUACUGGAUGAUCCUAGUGCACCCUAAAUCCAAUAAGUGUUCUUAUGAAAGACAGAAGAGGAGAAGAUACAGGAAAUAGAAGAAGGCUACUUGAGGAUGGAAGCAGAGAUUGGAGUUAUGCAGCUACAAACCAAAGAAUGCCUUGAGCCACCAGCAGCUGAAAGAGCUAGUCAGCAAUACAACUGGGAUUUGAUAUCAGAUUCAUACGAUUCCGAAGACCCUGACCACCAAAUGCAAAAGAGAAGGCAGACACCUAGAAUUCCAUCCUAGAAUUAAGACGUGACAAUAAACUUUGAUUUUGUGAGUGCAUUGUACGCUGACCUAAUAGAAGAUGAAAAGUGGAAAAAUUUGCACAAUGAGUUCAAGAACUCUGAGGAAAAGUAUUCAAACAGUCUAGUUAAGAAAACCUUAUUAAGUGGAAAUUUCAUACCAAACAAGGCUGCACAGCUUGGAAAAGCCCUGCACUUAAAAUUAACUUCAGCCGGUGAUGUGCUGAGGCUCUUGACUCAAGUACAGGCACACGGGCUGGCUAUGAUUUGGAGAAACAUGGUAAGUCAUAUGAAUGUUAGUUGAUAACUAAUUUUAUUGUUCAUGUGCGGAGGACAUAGGGUCAAAUGUGCCCCAAGAAGACCU